UGGGGAAUAUUGGACAAUGGGCGCAAGCCUGAUCCAGCAAUGCCGCGUGGGUGAAGACGGCCUGCGGGUUGUAAAGCCCUUUAGGCGGGGAGGAACGGUCGAGUGAUAAUACCGCUCGGCGCUGACGUUACCCGCAGAAUAAGCACCGGCUAACUCCGUGCCAGCAGCCGCGGUAAUACGGAGGGUGCGAGCGUUAAUCGGAAUUACUGGGCGUAAAGCGUGCGUAGGCGGUAGCGUCAGUCAGCCGUGAAAGCCCCGGGCUUAACCUGGGAACGGCGGUUGAGACGGCGCGACUCGAGUGGGCUAGAGGAUCGUGGAAUUCCGGGUGUAGCGGUGAAAUGCGUAGAGAUCCGGAGGAACACCGAUGGCGAAGGCAGCGGUCUGGGGCCACACUGACGCUGAGGCACGACAGCGUGGGGAGCAAACA
rnacentral:rRNA from 1 species